rnacentral:lncRNA from 1 species
GUUACAUGCCUAGAAAUUAGUGUGAGAUCCAUUACGGUGGUAGCAUUCAAGCAAGCUAGAAACCGCAGAGGAAGGGUGGCUUUAACACCUGUACCGGUCAAAGCUGAACCCAGGGUACUGCUGGUUAACACCAAACUAACCACAGAACAAGCACCCAGUGCUACAGAUACAGCUUUGUCCAGACGUUUAUAGGCAUUCAAAG